CAGAUUGAACGCUGGCGGCAGGCCUAACACAUGCAAGUCGAACGGUAACAUUUCUAGCUUGCUGGAAGAUGACGAGUGGCGGACGGGUGAGUAAUGCUUGGGAACUUGCCUUUGCGAGGGGGAUAACAGUUGGAAACGACUGCUAAUACCGCAUAAUGUCUUCGGACCAAACUGGGCUUCGGCUCCGGCGCAAAGAGAGGCCAAAGUGAGAUUAGCUAGUUGGUAAGGUAACGGCUUACCAGGGCGACGAUCUCCAGCUGUUCUGAGAGGAAGAUCAGCCACACUGGGACUGAGACACGGCCCAGACUCCUACGGGAGGCAGCAGUGGGGAAUAUUGCACAAUGGGGGAAACCCUGAUGCAGCCAUGCCGCGUGUGUGAAGAAGGCCUUCGGGUUGUAAAGCACUUUCAGUUGUGAGGAAAAGUUGGUAGUUAAUACCUGCUAGCCGUGACGUUAACAACAGAAGAAGCACCGGCUAACUCCGUGCCAGCAGCCGCGGUAAUACGGAGGGUGCGAGCGUUAAUCGGAAUUACUGGGCGUAAAGCGCACGCAGGCGGUUUGUUAAGCUAGAUGUGAAAGCCCCGGGCUCAACC
rnacentral:rRNA from 1 species